CGUUCCCGGGUCUUGUACACACCGCCCGUCACUCCAUGGGAGUGGGUUGCUCCAGAAGUAGAUAGCUUUACGAAUGGGCGUUUACCACGGAGAGAUUCAUGACUGGGGUGAAGUCGUAACAAGGUAGCCGUAGGGGAACCUGCGGCUGGAUCACCUCCUUA
rnacentral:rRNA from 1 species